GGGAUCUGGACCAAGCAAGCGCGGAUGGCAACGGGACGAUAACGCCGCGAAAGGGGGCGGCGCUGAAGUCACAAACCACGGGUUCUACGGCUACAAAAGGACGCUCAGAAGAAGAGCGCCCCGCAGUCCGGUGGAGCAGCGACCGAGCUCUGACCGUGUUUUCUUUGUUAUAGGGGGCGGGUACGUGCCAUGUCCAAGAAUCAUCGCCAUCACCGUCAUCGUCAACCAACCUCGCGACGCAACGCGCUCGCAUUGAAUGGGACCGGCAGCUCAUCCCGAAUGUGGACGGAGGCGGAACGGCGGACACCUUGACCAGCAGCUGCAGCACUACGCGACCCGUUGCUGAGUUGUUCGGGCAGACUGCGGCUGACUAGUCUGCAAAGGAGCUGCCGAAGGGGUUCACCCGCUGACGGGCUGUAUUGAAAAGACAGAGGUGUGACACACACGAUGGCGCCAGGGCCGGCAACACGUCGAGCACCUCCAGGAGCGGGCCCGGCACACCCAGCAGCAGCUGGACGAUCGCAGACACGGACGCCCUCAGUGUCGCGGCCGACCGCCGGAGCGGCCACGCAGCAAGCAACCGGAGUUCAAAUGCCGGCGAUCCCCGGCUGCCCCGCGGGUCUGGAAUACCUCACGCAGAUCGACAACCUUAUCGUCCGCCAGUCUGUAUUUCUCGGCAAUAUGCUCCUUCCGAACAUGCUGAAUACCGAGUACCUGGUGACGAACACCAUGGACCAGUUUGUCUUCAAGGUGACCGAGGACUUCGACUACUUGUGGCAGGGCCUGGGCCCCAGGCGGCCCUUCAAGAUGGCGCUGCACGACUCCCGCAAUGCCGAAGUGUUGCGGCUUGACCGGCCACUUCGCUGUGAUUCGUGUCUCUGUUUUUGCUGCCUGCAGAAAAUGGACGUGCGUGAUCAUUCAGGUGCAACGAUCGGCUCCGUCAAGAUGCAGUGCACCCUGAUAUAUCCGAAUUUCUCAGUGCUGGACAGCGAGAAAAACGCUAUCCUGCUGAUUAAGGGGCCCUGCUGCACAAGAUCAAUCUGUUGUGAGAACGUGAAGUUCGAUAUCGUAACCAUGGACGGCGUCACGAAGAUUGGCGCGAUAACGAAGCUCUGGGGCGGAUUGUUCAAUGAAGCCUGCAGCAUAGCCGACAGCUUCGCGGUCACCUUCCCCUUCGAUUUGGAUGUCAAGAUGAAGGCCGUGCUGCUCGGUGCCGUCAUUCUACUUAAUACGAAUGAUUGGCUUCUUAUAUGAUCCCCAAUGCAGUAUCAGGUCGACGCCGUCUACAUAGAUUCAACAACUACAAAGGAAUGAAAGCAGAUGCCGCAUCAGCACUGCAGAGGAAAAUAAUUUUAUUAUUUCUCCUGCCAAAGUGUGGAGCAUUCAUACAGCGUGACAGCCAUGCCAUUGCUGAAAGGAGUACUUCAGCCAUCAUACCAGCACACCGUCAGUCUUGCCGAUUACGUCAUGAAAAAUAUGUGUAUUCUACGAAUGCCCGGACCACUGCGCACCUGCUUUCUCUCUUUGUGAAGACUGCCCAGGACUGGAAUGACCUUUCCGCCGAUCCCGUGCACCACUCCAAUCCACAUCACUUCAAGGCUGCCAUUGAGU